GUACCGCGGCUGCUGGCACGUAGUUAGCCGGUGCUUAUUCUUACGGUACCGUCAUCCGCUCCAGGUAUUAGCCAGAGCCCUUUCGUUCCGUACAAAAGCAGUUUACAACCCGAAGGCCUUCUUCCUGCACGCGGCAUUGCUGGAUCAGGGUUGCCCCCAUUGUCCAAAAUUCCCCACUGCUGCCUCCCGUAGGAGUCUGGGCCGUGUCUCAGUCCCAGUGUGGCUGGUCGUCCUCUCAGACCAGCUACAGAUCGUCGGCUUGGUGAGCCUUUACCCCACCAACUACCUAAUCUGACAUCGGCCGCUCCAAUCGCGCGAGGCCCGAAGGUCCCCCGCUUUCAUCCACAGAUCGUAUGCGGUAUUAGCGCAGCUUUCGCUGCGUUAUCCCCCACGACUGGGCACGUUCCGAUGCAUUACUCACCCGUUCGCCACUCGUCAGCGCCCGAAGGCCUGUUACCGUUCGACUUGCAUGUGUAAAGCAUGCCGCCAGCGUUCAAUCUGAGCCAUGAUCAAACUC
rnacentral:rRNA from 1 species